AUUGAACGCUGGCGGCAGGCCUAACACAUGCAAGUCGAACGAGUGGCGGACGGGUGAGUAAUGUCUGGGAAUCUGCCUGAUGGAGGGGGAUAACUACUGGAAACGGUAGCUAAUACCGCAUACCAUCAGAUGUGCCCAGAUGGGAUUAGCUAGUUGGUGGGGUAACGGCUCACCAAGGCGACGAUCCCUAGCUGGUAUGAGAGGAUGACCAGCCCGAAUGGAAAGGAGGCACGGUCCAGACUCCUACGGGAGGCAGCAGUGGGGAAUAUUGCACAAAGGGCGCGAGCCUGAUGCAGCCAUGCCGCGGUUAUGAAGAAGGCCUUCGGGUUGUAAAGUGCUUUCAGCGGGGAGGCGGUACCCGCAGAAGAAGCACCGGCUAACUCCGUGCCAGCAGCCGCGGUAAUAC
rnacentral:rRNA from 1 species